rnacentral:lncRNA from 1 species
CCUGCUUACACGCUUAGUCAUAAUUACUUACCUCAGCGGCACCAGCCGUGUGGUAGGAGCUUAGCUGAACAGAGAGGAGAAUCAGCAGGCACAUCACCUUGAGUUUGACCUGUCAGCCAGAUUUCACAGCACCUGCCUGGUUAGCCCGAGGGCUGUGAUUCACCCCCUCAGGAAAGGAGCUGUGCCCACCGAAGAUAACGUUCCAAGGAGGAACUAAAAGAAGCACUUGGCUCCUGCGGAGCCCCAGCCAGGCACAGCCUUCUGCUAUAUCCCCAGACCUCAGUUCUCCAUGAACUCUCUAUGCCCAGUGCCUUGUAUGCCCAUUUCCUUGAAGGGGUCCUGGAAGACUCUGCGGACACCACAGCCCAGCUAGAUGGAUUGAUUGGGAAUUUCUGGGUAGAAGUCACCUUGGGUUCAAAUGGAUCCUGCCUGCUUGCCAGAACAAAGAGGUAUCAUCUCCCAUGUCCAACUACUACUAGGGAGAAGGCCCUGUCUGGCUGCUCAGGCCAGAGAAAUUCAGCUGAAAUAGACAACAGAGAUCCUCUCGGUCAGAAGUUACAGUUGUUCUCAGAAGUGACUGUUGUCACAUGUUAUUUAUUGGGAUCCAAAGUGAGGUUUCCCUCAGCCACCAUGUCUGCUGCCUGGGUGAAUGAUCUUCCAGCCUCCUUGUGGGAAAUGACUUGAUGUCCUACUUGCUGCCUCAUCUUCCCUGGCUUCCAUGACAAUCACAUCAGUGGCCUCUAUGUGCAGGACCAUGUGCAGUGGACAGCAGUGACUUCUGCUCAGCUAUGUGAGUGUCCCCCUAAGAACAGCUAAACCUACUUGCCAUUUCACCUGGGCUGAGGAAACGGGUGAU